rfam:Capsicum annuum cultivar Zunla-1 chromosome 1, whole genome shotgun sequence
CAAUGAUGAUUAGGGCACUGCCUGAGCUUCUUCUUGAACCUCUCCUAAGUUUCAUAGAGAGCUUCAGUAGUAAGCUGUCUAAAGUUGCUGAUUUCAUCCCUCAGCUG